rnacentral:lncRNA from 13 species
CCAGACACUGAUCUAAGCACUUUAAUUAUAACUAUACCUACAAAUUGCAGGAUGGGUUUUAAAAAUCCUAAACCCUUUUGGGUGAAGUGCUUACUCUCCCCUCCUGGAGUUCUGACUUAUUCCAUAUUUGGACAGAAAUGGUAAAGUGCAGAGAAGAGACCAAGGUUCCUUAGAAUAAUGCGUCAGCACUAUGCAGUCAGAUGAAGAUGCUUCAUCUGGUUCUGGGCAGAGAGAGGCAGUUUCCCUUUGUCUCUUCUUUCUGCAAACAGACCCUGGCUGAGAGGAGUGAGAAGUAAUUACAAGCUGCUCCAGACUGUUCUUUCUGGGCAUAAGACAGGCAGACUUCUGCGUUCACAGUCUCUGUUAAGAGACUGCAGUCAUCCACUUCGUGGGCCCUUGACUGUUCUCCUUCAAAAGAACCAGGCAGUCAUUGCUUUUAAAGUGGACCUGACGCUCUACAGUCACAAAGCAGUUUCUUCUGAACUGUGCUAUUUGACGGCUCCAUUUCAUUUUUAGAUCUAUCCAGUGAAUUAGAUGCUGGAAAGAAGAAGCAAAGCAUUUUCUAUCUGAAAGAAUCUUGCAGCGAUUUAUUAAACACGCCUAUAAACCAAUAGUCUACAUAGAAAUAGCAUAGAAUGAACAAAAUUUCUUUUCAUUGAACUAUAAUAGUAGGAAGCCUUAUAAAGGACUAGAGGUCAGUCUGAGGGUUUUUAAAAAUGCUGUGUUUUUAGAACUGGCAGAUAUUUUGUUGAAAGCGUUCUCUCUAACACUUAAUCUAAUUAUGAGUUAAUUGAGACUAAAACGACUUUCAGUCUUAAAGGGGUUUAGAUUAAAAGGCUUUGCCUGAACAGCAUUUUUCACUGAAAAUAGGGAUGUCAUUAGUCUUGUUAGAACUCACUUCUAAACUGCAGCGAGAUACUGCUAAUGUACCUGUAUUUUCAAUGAGAUGCUAUAGCUCAGUGUCAGAAGAGUAAGAUAAAAUAAUACUGUUUCGUGGGGAACAAAGCGCAAAUGAACCAGUUUAUUAGCUAAUCAGCGUUGCUUAAGAGCAUGUCAGGAGUGGAUUGUUUCUGUGACUUUAAUGGUGAUUCAUCUUUAAGACACUUUCAAGUAGUGAAACUAUGAUUUCUUUGUUUUGCGAUAAAAAUAAAACAGAAAUAUGCAGAUUCCA